rnacentral:rRNA from 1 species
AGAGUUUGAUCCUGGCUCAGAACGAACGCUGGCGGCGUGGAUUAGGCAUGCAAGUCGAACGCGAAAGAGGGGGCAACUCCUCGAGUAGAGUGGCGAACGGGUGAGUAACGCGUGAAGAACCUGCCUUCGAGAGGGGGAUAACACUCCCAACGGGGUGCUAAUACCGCAUGAGACCACGGGGCCACAUGGCCCUGAGGUCAAAGGUGGCCUCUGCUCGCAAGCUACCGCUCGAAGAUGGCUUCGCGUCCCAUUAGCUAGUUGGCGGUGUAACGGACCACCAAGGCGACGAUGGGUAGCUGGUCUGAGAGGAUGGUCAGCCACACUGGGACUGAGAUACGGCCCAGACUCCUACGGGAGGCAGCAGUCGAGAGGCUUUGGCAAUGGGGGAAACCCUGACCAAGCGACGCCGCGUGGAGGAUGAAGGCCCUUGGGUUGUAAACUCCUUUUGCCGGGGAAGAAGUGCGAUCAGGUGAACAAUCUGGUCGUUUGACGGUACCUGGCGAAUAAGCUCCGGCCAACUCCGUGCCAGCAGCCGCGGUAACACGGGGGGAGCAAGCGUUGUUCGGAAUCACUGGGCGUAAAGGGCGUGUAGGCGGUCAGGUAAGUGGAAUGUGAAAUGCCCCGGCUCACCCGGGGACCGGCAUCCCAAACUGCCUGGCUUGAGUAUGGGAGAGGAUGGAGGAAUUCCUGGUGUAGCGGUGAAAUGCGUAGAUAUCAGGAGGAACACCGGUGGCGAAGGCGUCCAUCUGGCCCAAUACUGACGCUGAGGCGCGAAAGCUAGGGGAGCAAACGGGAUUAGAUACCCCGGUAGUCCUAGCCGUAAACGGUGAUCACUAGGUGUUGGGGGCAUCGACCCCUCCAGUGCCGCAGCUAACGCAUUAAGUGAUCCGCCUGGGGAGUACGGCCGCAAGGUUGAAACUCAAAGGAAUUGACGG